AUGGAAAGUCAUAAACCAAGUACUAGCAAAGAUAUCAUAUCCAGAAAAAUUAAACAACUUCCAGAAUCAGACAAGAAUCUGCUUAAAUAUGGAUCAGCAUAUAUUGGACUUAAUGCUGCUUUGGGGGGGGGGGCUAAUAGCGAAUCUUGAAUGUGACACACGCUCGAUUAGCUUCUACCUUACCAAUGGCUAUGAUCCCAUUUUUGACAGCAAACCUGUUCUACCAAAGUCUUGUAAGUUUACCUUUGAGUACAGGUGAUUUGAACUGUGAAACCUAUACCACAACACAGGGUGCACUAGUUGGUUUGGUUAUGGGUGGUCUGUACCCUAUCCUUCUGGCUGUACCCAUCAAUAGGGGCCUUGAUGCCAGGUAUGAAUCAAGUCCCCUACCACAGAGGGGAAACAUCUUCAAUUACUGGAUUACAGUUUCUAAGUCUGUUUUUAGAAAAAUGUUAUUUCCUACUUUACUUCAGACUGUGUUUGCAUCCUAUGUUGGGUCUAGACAAUAUAAACUCUUCAUAAAGGCCUUUCAGUUACCUGAACCUGACUUAGAAAUUCAUUGA
rnacentral:lncRNA from 1 species